rnacentral:rRNA from 1 species
GACGUAGGGGGCGAGCGUUGUCCGGAGUUACUGGGCGUAAAGGGCACGCAGGCGGUCAUGUAAGUCUGUUCUGACAGCUCCUGGCUCAACCGGGAGAGGCGAACGGAAACUGUAUGACUUGAGGACUUCAGAGGGACACGGAAUUCCGGGUGGAGUGGUGAAAUGCGUAGAGAUCCGGAGGAACACCAAAGGCGAAGGCAGUGUCCUGGGAAGUACCUGACGCUCAGGUGCGAAAGCCAGGGGAGCGAACGGG